AUUGAACGCUGGCGGCAGGCCUAACACAUGCAAGUCGAGCGGAUGAACGGAUCUUGCUCUUCUCUUCAGCGGCGGACGGGUGUGUCAUGCCUAUGACCUUCCCUUGACUUUGGGAUUAAUUUCCGUAACUGGGCCUUAUUCCCGCAUAGGCUCUUUGGUUGAAAGUGGGGGUUCUUCGGCUUUCGCGUUUUUUGAUGACCCUAGUUCGUAUUAGCUAGUUGGUGGGGUAAAGGCUUACCAAGGCGACGACCCGUAACUGGUCUGAGAGGAUGACCAGACACACUGGAACUGAGACACGGUCAAGACUCCUACGGGAGGCAGCAGUGGGGAAUAUUGGACAAUGGGCGAAAGACUGAACCAGCAAUGCAGCGUGUGUGAAGAAGGUCUUCGGAUUGUAAAGCACUUUUAGUAGGGAAGAAGGGCAGUAAGUGAAUACAUGGCUGUUGUGACGGUACCAACAGAAUAAGCACCGGCUAACUACGUG
rnacentral:rRNA from 1 species